GGCAAGAUGGCCGAGUUGGUUAUGGCGUGAGGUUAAGGUCACCUUAAUUCAUAAGAAUUCUAGAAUUCCUAUAUCCUCAUGGAGCAAUCCGCGUGGGUUCAAGUCCCACUCUUGUCA